AGCCUAGUCAGGUGUUUGCGAUUGGGCUGUCGUCAGCUCGUGUCGUUGAGAUGUUCGUUUAAGUCGCUAACGAGCGCAACCCUCGUCGUAUGUUAUUAUGUGUCAUACGAGACUGCCGGUAAAAAGCGGAGGAAGGUGAGGAUGAUGUCAAGUCAGCAUGACCUUUAUAUCCAGGCUACACACACGCUACAAUGGUCUGUACAAUGGGUAGCCAAGCGCGAGCGGAGCCAAUCCUGAAAGCAGGCCUCAGUUCAGAUUGCAGUCUGCAACUCGACUGCAUGAAGCCGGAGUUGCUAGUAACCGCAGGUCAGCAAUACUGCGGUGAAUACGUUCCCGGGUCUU
rnacentral:rRNA from 1 species